AUUGAACGCUGGCGGCAGGCCUAACACAUGCAAGUCGAGCGAGUGGCGGACGGGUGAGUAAUGUAUGGGGAACUGCCUGAUGGAGGGGGAUAACUACUGGAAACGGUAGCUAAUACCGCAUACCAUCAGAUGAACCCAUAUGGGAUUAGCUUGUAGGUAAGGUAACGGCUAACCUAUGCGACGAUCCCUAGCUGGUCUGAGAGGAUGAUCAGCCACACUGGGACUGAGACACGGACCAGACUCCUACGUGAGGGAGCAGUGGGGAAUAUUGCACAAUGGGCGCAAGCCUGAUGAAGCCAUGCCGCGUGUAUGAAGAAGGCCUUCGGGUUGUAAAGUACUUUCAGUCGGGAGGCGUUACCCACAGAAGAAGCACCGGCUAACUGCGUGCCAGCAGCCGCGGUAAUUC
rnacentral:rRNA from 1 species